UUUUUUCCUGCUUCACUCUGCUCGGACUUGGCUCAGCAAUUCGCUGUUACAGUUGUAAAGAUUACACGGCCAGCUGCUCCAAACAACGCGACUGCAGCUAUGAUGACGCCUGUCUGACGCUCACAGAGAGAGGUGCCGUUCGAAAAUGAUGACGCCCCAACUUCGAAAAGAUGUCAAUCGUAGCAACUCAGAAAAUUCUUUUGGAGCAGACAACUUGCUUGCUUUGUUGUGCUAACAUUGCUGCCAUUAUUGUCAGUCAUCAAUAUUUUAAAGUUGUUCCAACUGAAAUUAAUGUUUAAAGCCUCCAAGAAUACUUUUUUUU